GCCAGUAUAGCUCAGUUGGUUAGAGUGUUGUCCCAUGCACCCAAAGGUCAUGGGUUCAAAUCCCAGUCAGGGCA
rnacentral:tRNA from 1 species